UACGAAGGGGGCUAGCGUUGUUCGGAAUUACUGGGCGUAAAGCGCACGUAGGCGGAUACUUAAGUCAGGGGUGAAAUCCCGGGGCUCAACCCCGGAACUGCCUUUGAUACUGGGUAUCUCGAGUCCGGAAGAGGUGAGUGGAAUUCCGAGUGUAGAGGUGAAAUUCGUAGAUAUUCGGAGGAACACCAGUGGCGAAGGCGGCUCACUGGUCCGGUACUGACACUGAGGCACGAAAGCGUGGGGAGCAAACAGG
rnacentral:rRNA from 1 species